GAUGAACGCUGGCGGCGUGCCUAAUACAUGCAAGUCGAGCGAACAGACGAGGAGCUUGCCCCUCUGAAGUUAGCGGCGGACGGGUGAGUAACACGUGGAUAACCUACCUAUAAGAAUGGGAUAACUUCGGGAAACCGGAGCUAAUACCGGAUAAUAUAUUGAACCGAAUGGUUCAAUAGUGAAAGACGGUUUUGCUGUCACUUAUAGAUGGAUACGCGCCGCAUUAGCUAGUUGGUAAGGUAACGGCUUACCAAGGCAACGAUGCGUAGCCGACCUGUGAGGAUGAUCGGCAACCCGGGAAAGAAGGCACGGGCCAACCCCCUACGGGAGGCAGCAGUAAGAAAUCUACCGGAAUGGGCGGAAGCUUGACGGAGAAACGGCACGUGAGUGAUGAAGGGCUUCGGAUCGUAAAACUUUUUUAUUAGGGAAGAACAAAAGUGUAAGUUACGAUGCGAGACUGGACGGUACCUAAGCAGAAACCCCCGGCUAAUUACGU
rnacentral:rRNA from 1 species